rnacentral:rRNA from 1 species
UACGGAGGGGACUAGCGUUGUUCGGAAUUACUGGGCGUAAAGCGCACGUAGGCGGAUUUGUAAGUCAGGGGUGAAAUCCCGGGGCUCAACCUCGGAACUGCCUUUGAUACUGCAAAUCUCGAGUCCGGAAGAGGUGAGUGGAAUUCCUAGUGUAGAGGUGAAAUUCGUAGAUAUUAGGAAAGAACACCAGUGGCGAAGGCGGCUCACUGGUCCGGUACUGACGCUGAGGUGCGAAAGCGUGGGGGAGCAAACA